rnacentral:lncRNA from 1 species
UUUCAUUCAUGUGGGGGACUGUUAGAAUAUUUUGAAUGAUGAAUGAAAAGUUAGUUACGUUUUGAAUGUUCACUACAUCAGUUUCAUCAGUUUGAAUGCAUGUUGAAUGCUGUCAGUUUCAUCAUUUUGAAUGCAUGUUGAAUGCGUAUGAAAACAUCAGUAACUUCCCAUUUGAAAUAUGUCGGUUUCACCCUAUUCAUUCAUCCAUG